CGAGGCUGCAGCGAGCUGAAAGGGAGAGGGGAAAAAAUAUUCUUGCAGACUUUUAAACCUGGUGCGAACCGGUUGAAUCCCACCACUGGUUUGUGGGCAGGAGAAAUGAAAGCAGCAGGACAAUAACAGAAGCGACUCCAAAAGUCCCAUCGGAGGUUCCCCAAACUCUACAGCUCCUUCGGCUCCAUCACUUAAAAAAAAAGAUGUUGAGACGCUAGAAAGAG